GGGCCCUUAGCUUAGUCUGGACAGAGCACCCGGCUCAUAACCGGGCGGUCGCUGGUUCAAAUCCGGCAGGGCCCA
rnacentral:tRNA from 1 species